GCCCGCCGCUGCAGGUGGCAGCAGUGACUGCGCUUGUGGGGUGAGGCGGCCCUGGCCGGGGAGGAUGGCUGGAGCUGCUUGGCAAAGACUUGCGCUCUUCCUGCCCUGAACCUGCACAGCAUCACAGCUAAGGGACCUCGGCUCGAAGGACCACCCAGGCUGUGCCUGGGGCCCAGUGCUGGAAAUCCCGGGAGUGGACACAUGCAGUAUGUGUCCGGCGUCCCCAGAACGACACGGAGAUGGACUGGCUUGCGGGGGACCCCACGUCCUCUUCCCCAACACGAGGAGCCUCGGGAUCCAUUUUCACUGCUGCAGGCACAGGGGCCUCCUCAGCUCCUCCUCGUCUGCUGUUCCUGUUUCGUCCUCUUCCUGCCUCGUGCUUCGUUGAUGUUCUGCAAAUUAUUUAGAUGUGUAAAUGAAAUAAAUGGAAAAUAACUCUCA